rnacentral:lncRNA from 1 species
UCGGCCUCAUCGGCCAGCACGCGCAGCCUGCGGGUUCAGCCGCCCACGAGUGUCGAGUCACAACUCACCACCCAAGGAGAGUAGGGAACAGACGGGACUGGCGCCUCGGCCCCGUCCAGUUUGAUUUUAGGAGCGACUUAGAGGGCGGUGGUGUGCAGCUGCAUGGUGCCUUAUUUAACGUGGAUUUACGUUGAUCAGGAUGGCGACACAGGCUGCGGCAUCCUGUGUAUGUACUGGUGCAAGCCUGGUGCCUAGCUGGGCUGCUGCUAAUAUGACGGCCAACAACACGUACUUUAAUACUGAGGGAAACACAGGGAAGAGGUGGAAGAGGAAGAGGAUGAGUAAUAGCAAACAGUCUCAAGAAGAGGAGAAUGAGAAAUUAAGUUAUAAGAGGAAGUUGACAACAAGUGAAGAGUUGCUAGAGGAAGAAGAGGACGAGGAUGAGGAAGAGUGAAGAGUUGGAAGAGGGGUAAGAUGGCGAGGAGGAUAAGUAGUGAAGGGCUGCAAGAGGAAGAGGAGCUGAUGGAUGUGUGAGUGUGAGAAAGCCUUUCAUUUUCUUUUUUUGUCAUUAUUAAGUUCAUUUUCAGUGACAGAGAAAGGAAAAGAUGGCAAGGAGAUGCAAGGCAAAGAUAAAUAAGAGAAAAAAUAUAAGUAAAUAAAAUAGAAUAAAAAAUAAAGAAAUAGAUAAAUGAAACACAUGAAAAUGAAAAUAAACUAUUAAGAAAAUAGCUAGUUAGUACAUUUAAAUAUUACAUAUUUUGAUCAAAUGGAAAAUAUCUUGAGAGUUGCUUAUCACACAUUGAAAAGUUACUGGCAUUGUUUUCUUGGGUGAGGCACUCCCUCAGCAUUUCAGAAACAGGUUCAAGAAUUUCUUUUAUCCUAGACUAUAUGACUUUUACACCACUUAGCAUUUCAGUCUAUCAGAUCUGCAGUAUGCAUGUUAAAUUGUUAAGAAAUAUUAGUACAUUGUGUAAGUACUUUUAUAUUUUUACCUUACUUAUGAUGUCGGUGCUGGAAUGAAUUUUGUAUACCUUUAUGUAUUUAACAUAACACUAUAAAUAAAGCCUACUUGUGAAAGUAUAGUUUAUUUCUGGAGGCCAGAUUUUUCACCUUUCAUAGCCUUCCCUUAGUUUCAUAUUGGUCAAUGGUAGCAGUAUUGUCUAGUAUGUAUCCCCACAUUAACACUUUUUUCAUACUUAUCUUUUCUUUCACCAUACAUCCCAAAUUUCUAAGGAUUUACCACAACUGCACAGGUCUGACAUUUCACCUUCCCAUUGGCCAGUAUUAACCAAAUGAUUAUUAAAGAAGAAAGAAUGCUUGUAUCCAAACUUUGAUGUCAUGCAUAUAUACAAAAUUAUUGGUAAAAUUUAUAAUUUAUUUAAUAUAAAAUAUCUAUAAAUAAGUACAGUAUGCUAAUAAGCUUCACUAACACAACCAUUUUACUUUUAAACUUAAGAUCUUUUAUCAGUAAAUAGAUCUGAGGUCAUUAACCAUAUCUGGUUCUAUCUACAGCCUUGGAAGUGGUUCUGCAUUUAGCAUUUGUCCAUUACAUAAAAAACAUAAGUAGAACAACUUUCAAUAAAUAUUCUUAUACACGUUUUGGUCCAUCACAUAUUGCAUUAUUAUAAUACAAUAGGGUUGUAAUCUUUUCAUACUAACAUUCUCAAACCAAAGAGCAAAUUUAGUGACAUAUGCACCUCAUUGCCUGAAAAUGUUUCCACUGAAAGUAAAAUUAUAUAUAUAUAUAUAUAUAUAUAUAUAUAUAUAUAUAUAUAUAUAUAUAUAUAUAUAUAUAUAUAUAUAUAAUUGUAAAUCAGCCUGAUUUUUGUUACUAAGGUUUGCUGAUCAUCUGGCAGCCCUGCCUGUUGUCUUGGUUUUAGAGGAACACAUUUCUUUAUCUAAAUAUAAAUCUAACUUUUUAUGGAUCUUCCUUCACUGGCAAUGUAAUUUGUUCAUCUAGUGAUGUAAUUUUAAAAUAUGAUUAAUAAAAUAUUCAU